CAAAUACUCCCUCCGUCCGAAAAUACUUGUCAUCAAAAUGGAUAAAAAGAGAUGUAUCUAGAUGUUUAAGAUACAUCUCUUUUUAUCCAUUUUGAUGACAAGUAAUUUCGGACGGAGGGAGUAGAAA
rfam:Triticum urartu cultivar G1812 contig166038, whole genome shotgun sequence.